rnacentral:rRNA from 1 species
AGUGAACGCUGGCGGUAGGCCUAACACAUGCAAGUCGAACGGCAGCACAGUAAGAGCUUGCUCUUACGGGUGGCGAGUGGCGGACGGGUGAGGAAUACAUCGGAAUCUACUUUUUCGUGGGGGAUAACGUAGGGAAACUUACGCUAAUACCGCAUACGACCUACGGGUGAAAGCAGGGGAUCUUCGGACCUUGCGCGAUUGAAUGAGCCGAUGUCGGAUUAGCUAGUUGGCGGGGUAAAGGCCCACCAAGGCGACGAUCCGUAGCUGGUCUGAGAGGAUGAUCAGCCACACUGGAACUGAGACACGGUCCAGACUCCUACGGGAGGCAGCAGUGGGGAAUAUUAGACAAUGGGCGCAAGCCUAAUCCAGCCAUACCGCGUGGGUGAAGAAGGCCUUCGGGUUGUAAAGCCCUUUUGUUGGGAAAGAAAAGCAGCAGGUUAAUACCCCGCUGUUCUGACGGUACCCAAAGAAUAAGCACCGGCUAACUUCGUG